rnacentral:rRNA from 1 species
AAAACUUUCAACAACGGAUCUCUUGGUUCGGGCAUCGAUGAAGAACGCAGCGAAAUGCGAUAAGUAAUGUGAAUUGCAGAACUCAGUGAAUCAUCGAAUCUUUGAACGCACAUUGCGCCCGUCAGUAUUCUGGCGGGCAUGCCUGUCCGAGCGUCAU